rnacentral:rRNA from 1 species
UACAGAGGGGCAAGCGUUGUUCGGAAUUACUGGGCGUAAAGGGCGCGUAGGCGGCCCGCUAAGUCGAACGUGAAAUCCCCGAGCUCAACUCGGGAACUGCGUCCGAUACUGGCGGGCUUGAAUCCGGGAGAGGGAUGCGGAAUUCCAGGUGUAGCGGUGAAAUGCGUAGAUAUCUGGAGGAACACCGGUGGCGAAGGCGGCAUCCUGGACCGGCAUUGACGCUGAGGCGCGAAAAGCUAGGGGAGCAAACGGGG